rnacentral:rRNA from 1 species
CCUACGGGGGGCAGCAGUCGAGAAUCAUUCACAAUGGGGGAAACCCUGAUGGUGCGACGCCGCGUGGGGGAAUGAAGGUCUUCGGAUUGUAAACCCCUGUCAUGUGGGAGCAAAUUAAAAAGAUAGUACCACAAGAGGAAGAGACGGCUAACUCUGUGCCAGCAGCCGCGGUAAUACAGAGGUCUCAAGCGUUGUUCGGAAUCACUGGGCGUAAGGCGUGCGUAGGCGUGUUCGUAAGUCGUGUGUGAAAGGCGCGGGCUCAACCCGCGGACGGCACAUGAUACUGCGAGACUAGAGUAAUGGAGGGGGAAGCGGAAUUCUCGGUGUAGCAGUGAAAUGCGUAGAUAUCGAGAGGAACACUCGUGGCGAAGGCGGGUUCCUGGACAUUAACUGACGCUGAGGCACGAAGGCCAGGGGAGCGAAAGGGAUUAGAUACCCCAGUAGUC